GACGAACGCUGGCGGCGUGCUUAACACAUGCAAGUCGAACGGAAAGGCCCUGCUUUUGUGGGGUGCUCGAGUGGCGAACGGGUGAGUAACACGUGAGUAACCUGCCCUUGACUUUGGGAUAACUUCAGGAAACUGGGGCUAAUACCGGAUAGGAGCUCCUGCUGCAUGGUGGGGAUUGGAAAGUUUCGGCGGUUGGGGAUGGACUCGCGGCUUAUCAGCUUGUUGGUGGGGUAGUGGCUUACCAAGGCUUUGACGGGUAGCCGGCCUGAGAGGGUGACCGGCCACAUUGGGACUGAGAUACGGCCCAGACUCCUACGGGAGGCAGCAGUGGGGAAUAUUGCACAAUGGGCGGAAGCCUGAUGCAGCAACGCCGCGUGCGGGAUGACGGCCUUCGGGUUGUAAACCGCUUUCGCCUGUGACGAAGCGUGAGUGACGGUAAUGGGUAAAGAAGCACCGGCUAACUACGUGCCAGCAGCCGCGGUGAUACGUAGGGUGCGAGCGUUGUCCGGAUUUAUUGGGCGUAAAGGGCUCGUAGGUGGUUGAUCGCGUCGGAAGUGUAAUCUUGGGGCUUAACCCUGAGCGUGCUUUCGAUACGGGUUGACUUGAGGAAGGUAGGGGAGAAUGGAAUUCCUGGUGGAGCGGUGGAAUGCGCAGAUAUCAGGAGGAACACCAGUGGCGAAGGCGGUUCUCUGGGCCUUUCCUGACGCUGAGGAGCGAAAGCGUGGGGAGCGAACAGGCUUAGAUACCCUGGUAGUCCACGCUGUAAACGGUGGGUACUAGGUGUGGGGUCCAUUCCACGGGUUCCGUGCCGUAGCUAACGCUUUAAGUACCCCGCCUGGGGAGUACGGCCGCAAGGCUAAAACUCAAAGGAAUUGACGGGGCCCCGCACAAGCGGCGGAGCAUGCGGAUUAAUUCGAUGCAACGCGUAGAACCUUACCUGGGUUUGACAUGGAUCGGGAGUGCUCAGAGAUGGGUGUGCCUCUUUUGGGGUCGGUUCACAGGUGGUGCAUGGCUGUCGUCAGCUCGUGUCGUGAGAUGUUGGGUUAAGUCCCGCAACGAGCGCAACCCUUGUUCACUGUUGCCAGCACGUUAUGGUGGGGACUCAGUGGAGACCGCCGGGGUCAACUCGGAGGAAGGUGGGGAUGACGUCAAGUCAUCAUGCCCCUUAUGUCCAGGGCUUCACGCAUGCUACAAUGGCUGGUACAGAGAGUGGCGAGCCUGUGAGGGUGAGCGAAUCUCGGAAAGCCGGUCUCAGUUCGGAUUGGGGUCUGCAACUCGACCUCAUGAAGUCGGAGUCGCUAGUAAUCGCAGAUCAGCAACGCUGCGGUGAAUACGUUCCCGGGGCU
rnacentral:rRNA from 1 species